ensembl:lncRNA
GUAAGGUACUGAAAUAUCCAGACAUUAAAUAAUUUCACAAGGACUGUUUGGGAAGUAUCUAGAAAAGCAAGAAAUUGAACACAGAUUCCCACAGUUCAGCCUCAGAAUCAUCCCUGGGCAUUCUUUUUUGAGUGGUUUACUGGAAGAGAAAUAUUAGCUCUGGCAGGAAAAUGGAGUGAAAUGUCAGUUGUCUGCCUAGAAUUAAAAAAAAUAUAUAUUCUUAUGAAAGGAAAUUAAUAAAAAAGACUUAAAUGCAGGCAAUAGGUUAGAGUUGAGUCUAAUAGGAACGUACACUAUGAAUGCUGCUUCCAACACUUCUCAACAGUAUUUCAAAGGUUCAUAUUAACCAGGGACCAAUGCAAGCCAGAGAACAUGUCUAAUUAAAGAAACCCAUUGCAUUCUUCUUAUAGUUUUUAAUAGCAUUCAUUCUCAGGUUGGAGGGGUUUGACUUUUUAUAAAAGAUGGAAAUUUCAGUCACUUGAGUGACCUGAAGGCAUUUUUCUGUGGUCCAGAGGCAGUUCUAAAUGAGCUUUUAUUACCUUUGUCUAGGUACUAUCAUUUGAUCUACAGACAUAGGAGAUGUACAAGUCUGCACACCACUUAAGCAAGUAGAAUCCUGUUAUGAAAUUCUCCUUCAAUAUUUCUAAAGCCCUCUUAACAUUAUAUUGGAGACUAAGGAUUACCAGCUUUAACAGAGCAAAAUGAUCUGAAAGGUUUAUUUUCUUUACCUUUGAUGCUUAUAUUGUCAACAACAGAGCUUCACUCCUCAGUCAGCCAGGUUGCCCAUGAAUUGACUUCAGCAGACUAGGAAGCCUUAAACAGCAUACCCACAUGAUGGCUGCCACAAUAUUUUUGUUAAUCAGCUCUUUUAAAAACGAUCCUUGUAAAAGUGAACAGUUUAGGUUGUUGCUGACAUACUAUUGGCAGCAUGAUAAUAAUGUAUAUAUAUAACAAUUUGGAGUGGGAGAAUUGGCUUGGAGACAAAUAGGCUCUUAAUAUAAGUUAUCUAAUGAAUGGUGUCAUGAGGUAGGAUGUUCAGAUAUAUGACCAAAGUAAUUAAUCUCAGAAAGCAUUUUACACUGAGGAAUAAAAUGCUGUAUGUUGGAGGAAUUAAGCAGAUGUUAUAAUAUCUCCAUGCUAUCAUGCAGAACAAAACCUAGCAGCUGUGUAUGCCAUGAAAAUGAACUUAAUUAAGGAGACCACUAGCGGUGCCUCUGUCAGUAUCAAAAUACUAACACAAUUCAGGCAUAUUUCAUAAGAGAAUGCUUCCCAGCGUCUUCUACUCAGAAUUGCACUCCUGGCUCAAAAGCAGUCAGGUAGGAUGCCAGAGCAGCCACAUGUACUUUUCUGAAGCAGACUUUUAGGCUAACCCUAGCAGGCAGCUAAGCACCACAAAGCAGCUUUCUCUUUCCACUCAGAGGGAUGGGAAAGAGAAUCAGAAGAGCAGAAGUGAAAAAAUCUGUGAGCUGAGGCAGACAUUCAACCACAUCCAGGAAAGCAGGGCUCAUCAUGCAUAACAAUUUUUGGAGAAGACAAACAUCAUCACUCUGAACAUCACCCCUCCUUCUUACCCCCAGCUUUAAUUGCUGAGCACAAUACCAUAUGGCAUGGGGCAUUGCUUUGGCCAGUCUGAGUCAGCUGUCUCAUUUCUGACCCCUCCC